UCACUUACUUCGCAAUUCAGGUCAGGCAGGGGCCCAAACCGGGCGCUGCUGCGUCUGCUGGUGGACAAGUACGCCCACCUGGUGGUCUACGUGGACGAAUACUACACCAGCCAGGUACGCUGUAAUCUUCACAAAGCAAUGCGCACAACGCUCAAUGCACACGUACCUUACCUGGCCCAAACCUAUCUCUGUGUCUGAGCAGGUGUGUGCGAAGUGCGGACGGCGGCUGCUUGGUAACGGGCAGCGCUGCCUGGAAGUUGUGAUUCCGUUUGGUGGCUCGCGUGCCCGCGACGUCCAAGUGUGCCAACACUGCGGGACU
rnacentral:lncRNA from 1 species